GGCUACAGAACGAACGCUGGCGGCGCGUCUUAAGCAUGCAAGUCGAACGGCAAGAGGUAGCAAUACCUCCUAGAGUGGCGGACUGGUGAGUAACACGUGGGUGACAUACCCUUCAGAUGGGGAUAGCUAUUAGAAAUAGUAGAUAAUACCGAAUACGAGCACAGGGGUUAGAGAUCUGUGAGGAAAGGAGCUAAGGCUCCGCUGAAGGAAUGGCCUGCGGCCCAUUAGCUAGUUGGUGAGGUAAGAGCCCACCAAGGCGAUGAUGGGUAUCCGGCCUUAGAGGGUGAACGGACACAUUGGGACUGAGAUACGGCCCAGACUCCUACGGGAGGCAGCAGCUAAGAAUAUUCCGCAAUGGACGAAAGUCUGACGGAGCGACGCCGCGUGGAUGAAGAAGGCCGGAAGGUUGUAAAAUCCUUUUGAAACUGAAGAAUAAGCGUUGUAGGGAAUGACAGCGUGGUGACAGUAGGUUUUGAAUAAGCAACGGCUAAUUACGUGCCAGCAGCGGC
rnacentral:rRNA from 1 species